rnacentral:rRNA from 1 species
UGCAGGACACAUUUGAACAUCGACAUUUCGAACGCACAUUGCGGUCCGUGGAGAAACAUCCAGGACCACUCCUGUCUGAGGGCCG